UACGGAGGAUGCAAGCGUUGUCCGGAAUCAUUGGGCGUAAAGGGUCCUGAGGUGGUUUGCUUAGUCCAGUGUGAAAGUUCAGGGCUUACCCUUGAAAAUGCGGUGGAAACUAGCAGGCUAGAGUACGGUGGGGGCAGAGGGAAUUCCCGAUGUAGCGGUGAAAUGCGUAGAUAUUGGGAGGAACACCAGUGGCGAUGGCGGCUCGCUGGACCGGUUCUGACGCUGAUGCGCGAAAGCGUGGGGAGCAAACGGG
rnacentral:rRNA from 1 species